rnacentral:rRNA from 1 species
UAAUACAGAGGUGGCAAGCGUUGUUCGGAAUCACUGGGCAUAAAGGGCGCGUAGGCGGCGAUGAAAGUCAGGUGUGAAAGCCCUCAGCUUAACUGAGGAAUUGCGCCUGAAACUACAUUGCUGGAGUGUAGGAGGGGAGAGUGGAACUCCUAGUGGAGCGGUGAAAUGCGUAGAGAUUAGGAGGAACGCCGGUGGCGAAAGCGACUCUCUGGCCUAUUACUGACGCUGAUGCGCGAAAGCUAGGGGAGCAAACGGGAUUAGAUACCCCGGUAGUCCUAGCCGUAAACGAUGGGCACUAAGUAGGGGAAUUUCCGAUGAUUUCCCUGCCGGAGCAAAUGUAUUAAGUGCCCCGCCUGGGGAGUAUGGUCGCAAGGCUG